rnacentral:rRNA from 1 species
UUUCGCAAUGCCCGAAAGGGUGACGAAGCGACGCCGCGUGUGGGAAGAAGGCCUUCGGGUUGUAAACCACUGUCGGGAGUUAAGAAAUGCAAGGAUAUGAAUAGUGUCUUUGUUUGACUAAGGCUCCGGAGGAAGCCACGGCUAACUCUGUGCCAGCAGCCGCGGUAAUACAGAGGCGGCAAGCGUUGUUCGGAAUUAUUGGGCGUAAAGAGCACGUAGGCGGCUAUGUAAGUCGGUUGUGAAAGCCUUCCGCUCAACGGGAGAACAGCAUCCGAUACUGCAUGGCUUGAGUGCGGGAGGGGAGAGUGGAACUUCUGGUGGAGCGGUGAAAUGCGUAGAUAUCAGAAGGAACGCCGGCGGCGAAAGCGGCUCUCUGGCCCAUAACUGACGCUGAGUGUGCGAAAGCUAGGGGAGCAAACGGGAUUAGAUACCCCGGUAGUCCUAGCCGUAAACGAUGGGCACUAAGUAGAGGGGUUUU